rnacentral:rRNA from 1 species
GCUACAGGCUUAACACAUGCAAGUCGAGGGGCACCUUGGUCUUAGCUUGCUAAGGCCGAUGGCGACCGGCGCACGGGUGAGUAACACGUAUCCAACCUGCCGUCUACUCUUGGACAGCCUUCUGAAAGGAAGAUUAAUACAAGAUGGCAUCAUGAGUCCGCAUGUUCACAUGAUUAAAGGUAUUCCGGUAGACGAUGGGGAUGCGUUCCAUUAGAUAGUAGGCGGGGUAACGGCCCACCUAGUCUUCGAUGGAUAGGGGUUCUGAGAGGAAGGUCCCCCACAUUGGAACUGAGACACGGUCCAAACUCCUACGGGAGGCAGCAGUGAGGAAUAUUGGUCAAUGGGCGAGAGCCUGAACCAGCCAAGUAGCGUGAAGGAUGACUGCCCUAUGGGUUGUAAACUUCUUUUAUAAAGGAAUAAAGUCGGGUAUGCAUACCCGUUUGCAUGUACUUUAUGAAUAAGGAUCGGCUAACUCCGUGCCAGCAGCCGCGGUAAUACGGAGGAUCCGAGCGUUAUCCGGAUUUAUUGGGUUUAAAGGGAGCGUAGAUGGAUGUUUAAGUCAGUUGUGAAAGUUUGCGGCUCAACCGUAAAAUUGCAGUUGAUACUGGAUAUCUUGAGUGCAGUUGAGGCAGGCGGAAUUCGUGGUGUAGCGGUGAAAUGCUUAGAUAUCACGAAGAACUCCGAUUGCGAAGGCAGCCUGCUAAGCUGCAACUGACAUUGAGGCUCGAAAGUGUGGGUAUCAAACAGGAUUAGAUACCCUGGUAGUCCACACGGUAAACGAUGAAUACUCGCUGUUUGCGAUAUACUGCAAGCGGCCAAGCGAAAGCGUUAAGUAUUCCACCUGGGGAGUACGCCGGCAACGGUGAAACUCAAAGGAAUUGACGGGGGCCCGCACAAGCGGAGGAACAUGUGGUUUAAUUCGAUGAUACGCGAGGAACCUUACCCGGGCUUAAAUUGCAGAUGAAUUACGGUGAAAGCCGUAAGCCGCAAGGCAUCUGUGAAGGUGCUGCAUGGUUGUCGUCAGCUCGUGCCGUGAGGUGUCGGCUUAAGUGCCAUAACGAGCGCAACCCUUGUUGUCAGUUACUAACAGGUUCCGCUGAGGACUCUGACAAGACUGCCAUCGUAAGAUGUGAGGAAGGUGGGGAUGACGUCAAAUCAGCACGGCCCUUACGUCCGGGGCUACACACGUGUUACAAUGGGGGGUACAGAGGGCCGCUACCACGCGAGUGGAUGCCAAUAACCAAAACCUCUCUCAGUUCGGACUGGAGUCUGCAACCCGACUCCACGAAGCUGGAUUCGCUAGUAACCGCGAAGCAGCCACGGCGCGGUGAAUACGUUCCCGGGC